rnacentral:rRNA from 1 species
ACAAACGACUCUCGGCAACGGAUAUCUCGGCUCACGCAUCGAUGAAGAACGUAGCAAAAUGCGAUACUUGGUGUGAAUUGCAGAAUCCCGUGAACCAUCGAGUUUUUGAACGCAAGUUGCGCCCGAAGCCUUUCGGUCGAGGGCACGUCUGCCUGGGCGUCAC